UACGUAGGGGGCAAGCGUUGUCCGGAAUUAUUGGGCGUAAAGAGCUCGUAGGCGGUCUGUCGCGUCGGAUGUGAAAACCCGGAGCUCAACUCCGGGCCUGCAGUCGAUACGGGCAGACUGGAGUUCGGCAGGGGAGACUGGAAUUCCUGGUGUAGCGGUGAAAUGCGCAGAUAUCAGGAGGAACACCGGUGGCGAAGGCGGGUCUCUGGGCCGAUACUGACGCUGAGGAGCGAAAGCGUGGGGAGCGAACAGG
rnacentral:rRNA from 1 species